UCUACGCAAGGUUGGGUUGGUCUAGAGGAGGCUGGGUUGUGUUUAAAGGCCUAGAGAAGGUUGGGUUGGUCUAGAGAAGCUUCAGAGGUUUGGUUGGGUCUACAGAAGGUCUAGAGGAGGUUGGGUUGGAAUAAGGAAGGUCUGGAGAAGGCCGAGUUGGCCUGGAGGGAGAUGGGUUGGCCUAGAGAAGGUCAGGAGGAGCUUGGGUUGGUCU